rnacentral:rRNA from 1 species
CCUACGGGAGGCAGCAGUAGGGAAUCUUCCGCAAUGGACGAAAGUCUGACGGAGCAACGCCGCGUGAACGAUGAAGGCCUUCGGGUCGUAAAGUUCUGUUGUUAGGGAAGAACAAGUGUUAGUUGAAUAAGCUGGCACCUUGACGGUACCUAACCAGAAAGCCACGGCUAACUACGUGCCAGCAGCCGCGGUAAUACGUAGGUGGCAAGCGUUGUCCGGAAUUAUUGGGCGUAAAGCGCGCGCAGGCGGUUUCUUAAGUCUGAUGUGAAAGCCCCCGGCUCAACCGGGGAGGGUCAUUGGAAACUGGGAAACUUGAGUGCAGAAGAGGAAAGUGGAAUUCCAAGUGUAGCGGUGAAAUGCGUAGAGAUUUGGAGGAACACCAGUGGCGAAGGCGACUUUCUGGUCUGUAACUGACGCUGAGGCGCGAAAGCGUGGGGAGCAAACAGGAUUAGAUACCCUGGUAGUCCACGCUGUAAACGAUGAGUGCUAAGUGUUAGAGGGUUUCCGCCCUUUAGUGCUGAAGUUAACGCAUUAAGCACUCCGCCUGGGGAGUACGGUCGCAAGACUGAAACUCAAAGGAAUUGACGG